rnacentral:rRNA from 1 species
CAGGCUUAUCACAUGCAAGUCGAGGGGCAGCACAGGUAGCAAUACCGGGUGGCGACCGGCGCACGGGUGAGUAACGCGUAUGCAACUUGCCUAUCAGAGGGGGAUAACCCGGCGAAAGUCGGACUAAUACCGCAUGAAGCAGGGAUCCCGCAUGGGAAUAUUUGCUAAAGAUUCAUCGCUGAUAGAUAGGCAUGCGUUCCAUUAGGCAGUUGGCGGGGUAACGGCCCACCAAACCGACGAUGGAUAGGGGUUCUGAGAGGAAGGUCCCCCACAUUGGUACUGAGACACGGACCAAACUCCUACGGGAGGCAGCAGUGAGGAAUAUUGGUCAAUGGGCGUAAGCCUGAACCAGCCAAGUCGCGUGAGGGAUGAAGGUUCUAUGGAUCGUAAACCUCUUUUAUAAGGGAAUAAAGUGCGGGACGUGUCCCGUUUUGUAUGUACCUUAUGAAUAAGGAUCGGCUAACUCCGUGCCAGCAGCCGCGGUAAUACGGAGGAUCCGAGCGUUAUCCGGAUUUAUUGGGUUUAAAGGGUGCGUAGGCGGCCUUUUAAGUCAGCGGUGAAAGUCUGUGGCUCAACCAUAGAAUUGCCGUUGAAACUGGGGGGCUUGAGUAUGUUUGAGGCAGGCGGAAUGCGUGGUGUAGCGGUGAAAUGCAUAGAUAUCACGCAGAACCCCGAUUGCGAAGGCAGCCUGCCAAGCCAUUACUGACGCUGAUGCACGAAAGCGUGGGGAUCAAACAGGAUUAGAUACCCUGGUAGUCCACGCAGUAAACGAUGAUCACUAGCUGUUUGCGAUACACUGUAAGCGGCACAGCGAAAGCGUUAAGUGAUCCACCUGGGGAGUACGCCGGCAACGGUGAAACUCAAAGGAAUUGACGGGGGCCCGCACAAGCGGAGGAACAUGUGGUUUAAUUCGAUGAUACGCGAGGAACCUUACCCGGGUUUGAACGCAUUCGGACCGAGGUGGAAACACCUUUUCUAGCAAUAGCCGUUUGCGAGGUGCUGCAUGGUUGUCGCCAGCUCGUGCCGUGAGGUGUCGGCUUAAGUGCCAUAACGAGCGCAACCCUUGCCACUAGUUACUAACAGGUAAAGCUGAGGACUCUGGUGGGACUGCCAGCGUAAGCUGCGAGGAAGGCGGGGAUGACGUCAAAUCAGCACGGCCCUUACAUCCGGGGCGACACACGUGUUACAAUGGCGUGGACAAAGGGAAGCCACCUGGCGACAGGGAGCGAAUCCCCAAACCACGUCUCAGUUCGGAUCGGAGUCUGCAACCCGACUCCGUGAAGCUGGAUUCGCUAGUAAUCGCGCAUCAGCCAUGGCGCGGUGAAUACGUUCCCGGGCCUUGUACACACCGCCCGUCAAGCCAUGGGAGCCGGGGGUACCUGAAGUCCGUAACCGAGAGGAUCGGCCUAGGGUAAAACUGGUGACUGGGGC